CCUACGGGGGGCAGCAGUGGGGAAUAUUGGACAAUGGGGGCAACCCUGAUCCAGCCAUGCCGCGUGUGUGAAGAAGGCCCUCGGGUUGUAAAGCACUUUCAGUGAGGAAGAACGCCUGGUGGUUAAUACCCAUCAGGAAAGACAUCACUCACAGAAGAAGCACCGGCUAACUCCGUGCCAGCAGCCGCGGUAAUACGGAGGGUGCGAGCGUUAAUCGGAAUUACUGGGCGUAAAGCGCGCGUAGGUGGCUUGAUAAGCCGGUUGUGAAAGCCCCGGGCUCAACCUGGGAACGGCAUCCGGAACUGUCAAGCUAGAGGGCAGGAGAGGAAGGUAGACUUCCCGGUGUAGCGGUGAAAUGCGUAGAGAUCGGGAGGAAUACCAGUGGCGAAGGCGGCCUUAUGGACUGACACUGACACUGAGGUGCGAAAGCGUGGGUAGCAAACAGGAUUAGAUACCCCUGUAGUC
rnacentral:rRNA from 1 species